rnacentral:lncRNA from 1 species
CUUGGUGCGGACCUCACUUGAGCAGUACAUCAAACCCCACUUUAAUGCUGGGAAACCAAUGAAAUGUCAAGUUUCCGGUAUCAGCAAGGAGGUUGUUUGGUUUUCUAAGGUGCUCUCCAGGCUAGUCUCUGUAGGAAAGUGGCUCCCCCUCCCUCCCCUCUGCACACUCACCUAAUGAGGAGGCUUUCAAGUGCAAUCAGCAGCUGCUCUCCCUGAGAGGCCUGUCCCUGGCUAGGUCAGCAGAGCUCUUGACAGGAGGCUGGAGGAAUUAGUGAAUGAGGUUGUAUAUGGUCUUAACAAAGGGAAACCAUUACCAUCUCACCUUCCAGAUCUCUCCUGCAGCUCGUUGAGACUAUUUCCAUCUGACCAGCACAGGCCUCAGUGUGGGUGCCUUUUAUCCUGUGUGGGGAGUGUACCAAGUUUUCUCUGUCUUCUAUUAGCUUGCUGAAAAGGUCAGACAGCCAUGCUGGGGGUUUGUCUUGAGUACAUCGCUCUAGAGGACAAAAACAACAACAACAACAAAACCAUGUAUGCAUGUGUGCUAUACUUCCUGUGUGCCCCCCAUUCUCCUCCCUCCCAUGCUCUGGGCUGGCCCUCUCAGGCCAGGUUGAUGGGUGACAAUCCAUCAUAGAAAGAGACAAUCCCUGCAUUCUCAGCAUGGCUGUCACGAACUGCCCAGAUACUCAGUGGAAAUGUGGGAAGCCUGCUUUGCUGCUGGCCCUGACAAAGCAUUCGGUUGUCAUUGUGUCAUGCCCUCUCCUUCAGAUGUCUGAGUCCUUUGGAAACUGAACUCUGAACUCCAUUCCACAGGUGUUGACUGUGGCCUACUCUAUCAGAGUUUCCACCCAGGCCUCCAGUUUCCUUUAGAGCAAAAUGAAAACAAAUGGUGAGAGGGUAGGAAUGGCGUGGAAGGUGGUCUAAAGAUAGCUGUUCUGACCCAAAUAAAAUUACAAUCCUGAGGGCAUGUAUGGAGGUUUGAAUGUGGUUGGCCAGGGAGUGGCACUACUAGGAGGUGUGGCUUCGUUGGAGUGGGCGUGGCCUUGCUGGAGUACCUGUGGCCUGUUGGAGAAAGCUUAUCACUGUGGGGAUGGGGAUUGAGGCAGGCCUCCUGGCUACCUGGAAGUCAGGCUUCUGGUUCUUGAGUUCCUGCCCUGACUUACCCCAGUGACAGACUGUGAUCUGGAAGUGUAAGCUGAAUAAACCCUUUCUCUCCCCAAGUUGCUUAUUAGUCAUGGUGUUUCAUUACAGCAAUAGAACCCCUAGCUAAGACAAUCCUUAUUUCUUUUGCAACAUUUUUCUCAGCUAUGAAAUUGCUCAAGAAAGCGUACUCGGUCCCCCAAACCAGGGCAGGCAUUGUGUUUUCAUAAUCCAUCUGUUUUUCCUCUUCAUAUUAUUAAGUAUGAAAGUUUGUGUUAUAAUAGCUGGGUUGCAGUAACUGCAAGGGCCAAGACUACAUACUCUCCCCAUGUUUACCAUGGCCUUUUGCACAUGGUAAGUCCUUGGUGCUAUGUGUCCUUGGAAAAUCAAAAGGAUCGAAUCAUUAGGGAAACAAUGAGAAAGAGAGCUAUUUCUCUUCAAGAGAGGAGCAGUUUUUAAGAUCUCACAAAUCCUAAGAGAGGAAGACAAAAGCUACUGACACUGAAGUGAUUUUAAAAAUCAGGUUUCCUCUGCACAGCUGUUUCUGAAAAUCCUGAAAGGACAGCUUCAGUGAGGAAGCGCUGAUUUGGGUUCAUAAUUUCAACACUCAGGCCAUGGGCGCUUGCACGGGACACAACAGUGGCAGAAGUGUGCCUGUGGAGGCCCUUCAUCUCACGGUGAACAGACAGUGACGAGGUGAUAGGUCCCUGCCUCAGAGAUCUCCAGUGUAACCUUCAGAUGUACCUCCUGCCCUCCCAGUGACCCACUUCUUCCACCUAGGCCUCACCUAACUUCCUAGAACCUUCUAAAACAGUCUCAGCUGGGGACCCAGUAUCCAGUACAUAAGUGUAUGGAAGGUAUUUCACAAUAUUCUAUCCCUGGCUCCCAAAAGGCCUGUGAUCUUUACUUCUGUUUUGUUUUGUGUGGCAUGGUCUUAUUUAGCCUAGACUGGCCUCUAAACUUGCUAUGUAGUUGAGGAUGGCCUUCAACUCCUGGUUUCCUACCUCUGUCUCCUAAGUAUCGGAAUGACAGGCAUAUGCCACCAUCCCCAGCUUCAUGACCAUCCUUCUAUGCAAAAUACAGUUAAGUCUAUUUUUAAGGGUCCAGUCUUAAUAGUUGCAACAUGGUCCAAAGGCUGAAAUCUAACUUCCGGGGUAUGAUGGCAGAUUAGAAACUUCCUCUGUGUGGUUCAAGGAAUGAA